GCCCUGUGGCUCAGUUGGUAGAGCAUGGUGUUUGCAACGCCAGCAUGGUGUGUGCAAUGCCAGGGUUGUGGGUUUGUUUCCCACAGGGGGCC
rfam:Salmo salar isolate Sally breed double haploid chromosome ssa03, whole genome shotgun sequence.